UACGUAGGGGGCAAGCGUUGUCCGGAAUUACUGGGUGUAAAGGGCGUGUAGGCGGGAAGGUAAGUCAGAUGUGAAAUUCCGGGGCUCAACCCCGGCACUGCAUCUGAAACUAUUUUUCUUGAGUGCUGGAGAGGAAAGCGGAAUUCCUAGUGUAGCGGUGAAAUGCGCAGAUAUCAGGAGGAACACCAAUGGCGAAGGCAGCACUCUGGGACGUGACUGACGCUGAGACGCGAAAGCGUGGGGAGCAAACAGG
rnacentral:rRNA from 1 species